rfam:Lepisosteus oculatus linkage group LG7, whole genome shotgun sequence.
GCCAGCAACAAUAUCACCCUGCAACUCACAUCUGGCAACCCACUGAAGGUAUGCAGGUGUGAGCCUGGUCAGUACCUGGAUGGGAGACCUCCUAGGAAAAACUAAGGUUGCUGCUGGAA